GACGAACGCUGGCGGCGUGCUUAACACAUGCAAGUCGAACGGCAAGGUCCUUCUUUUUUUUGGUGCUCGAGUGGCGCACGGGUGCGUAACACGUGAGUAACCUGCCCUUGACUUUGGGAUAACUUCAGGAAACUGGGGCUAAUACCGCAUAGCAGCUCCUGCUGCAUUGUGGGUGUUGUAAAGUUUCGGCGGUUGGCGAUUGACUCUCGGGUUAUUUAGCUGUUGGUGGGGUAGUGGCUUACCAAGGCCUUGACGGGUUGCGGGCCUGAGGGGGUGAGCGGCCACAUUGGGAAGGAGAUACGGCCCAGACGCAGAAGGGAGGCAGGAGUGGGGAAUAUUGCACAAUGGGAGGAAGCCUGAGGCAGCAAAGACGCGUGCGGGAUGACGGACUUCGGGUUGUAAGCCGCUUACGCCUGUGACGAAGCGUGAGUGAAGGUAAUGGGUAAAGAAGCACCGGCUAACUACGUG
rnacentral:rRNA from 1 species